UACGUAGGGGGCGAGCGUUACCCGGAUUUACUGGGCGUAAAGAGCGUGUAGGCGGCUGGCCAAGCGUGAUGUGAAAUCUUCGGGCUUAACCCGAAAACUGCAUUGCGAACUGGUCUGGCUAGAGUGUGUGAGAGGGUAGUGGAAUUCCCGGUGUAGAGGUGAAAUUCGUAGAUAUUGGGAAGAACACCGGUGGCGAAGGCGGCUCUCUGGACCGUAACUGACGCUGAGGCGCGAAAGCGUGGGGAGCAAACGGG
rnacentral:rRNA from 1 species